UACGUAGGCAGCAAGCGUUGUUCGGAGUUACUGGGCGUAAAGGGUGCGUAGGCGGUCCUAUAAGUAUGGUGUGAAAUCUCCCGGCUUAACUGGGAGGGUGCGCUAUAGACUGUGGGACUAGAGUGUGGGAGAGGAAAGUGGAAUUCCUGGUGUAGCGGUGAAAUGCGUAGAUAUCAGGAGGAACACCGGUGGUGUAAACGGCUUUCUGGACCAUAACUGACGCUGAGGCACGAAAAGCGUGGGUAGCAAACAGG
rnacentral:rRNA from 1 species